ensembl:lncRNA
UCCUGCCCAGCUACAUCAGAUCAGCCAACAACUUUGUAAUUGCUAAAAACAGCCUGUUGAUUUUCCUCCUAAGUGCUUCAGCUGGCCUGGCUGAGCUUUCUCUUUUCCACUGUCUUGAGAUGUUUCUCUCAUUGUGCACUACGCCGUAUUUUUAUGGUCAACAUAUCCUAUAGCAAACAAUUUCAGGCUGAUGGCGGAAGGGAGAUUGGAUUCAGAUCGGAGAUUUGAGCCCCGGAUGGGGAGCCAGGAACGCCUCAGUUCCUGGACCAGAUCUGCCACUAAAUCAGGAAUCCACAUAAAGCAAAGCCACAUGACGAGCAACUGCAGGAUGAUUUGAUUUUUGUGUGCAGAGGAGGAAGCGAGUGUUUGAACACGGCUCUCGCCUUGGUGCGCCCGCUGCAACUGGAGCCGCCAUUACAGGGACUGAUCGAGGUGGAUGCAGUGGUCCCCGUCAGAUGUGUGCCAAAUUGAAAUGCCAGCAGCUGUGUGAGCAGCGGGAUAAUCGUAUCUGCUGCUUCUCUCUUCCAAGUCCUGGCAUUCCCAUUUCAGCAAUGGUGUGUCCAUGCUCAGCUCUGCGGGAGGAAAUCCAUUGACCGAAGCCAUGCUGACGCCUGGGGGAUGCGGUUACAUGUUCAUCAGUCACCUGUCUGACUGUGGACCCACUGGGAUGCAGAGCAAUAGGAGAGCAAUGGACUGUCCUCAAAGAGGGCCAUGAGCUGCACUGCCAGUGGGGAAGAACUGCUUCUGCUCAUCCGGGUAAUGUCGCUGUGUUGGCUGAAAAGUCUCCACUUGGUCCUGAGCGGUGCCACCUGCAGAUCCCUGCACCCACUGGAACAAAAUAAAAAGGUGUCGUAUGUGGUUUCAUGGCAGCAGGGAGGUGACAGCACACAUGGGCUGAGAAGCAGAAAUCCCCUUCAACAGCAGAGACUAUCUCUGCCAGCAGGUAGAGAAGAGGUUGUUUGUCUGAAGAAAGAAGGGUGUGGUGGAAAUACUUCAUGCCAGUCAAGUCAACCAAAAUACUACCUGAGUUACAAAGCAUGCUGGAAAACAAAAUUAAACAGAAGAUCUGGGCCCCACCUGUGCUCUCCCAGGAGAGACUGAGAGAAAAGGAGUUCUGGGAGCUGGGAACACACAGCUCCCUGCAGCAGCUGCACUAUGGAAUUCACCCUGGAUGAAUGGGAAUGCCAAUGUCUUCACCUCCUGAAGAGAGGACACAGCUCUCAGACUGAAUUAGCCACAGCUGGAUAGGUUGUUUUGAAAUCUCCACAAUUUUCAGACCUGGAAGAUUUUUCCAUCAUGCUGGCCUGGGGUAGGCAUUUGGUGGGUGAGUAAACUAUAAUUUGGUUUGUUUUGCCUUAUGAAGUAAGUGUAGAAAAUACACCAAAGUAGCUGGUCACAUAUUUGGACCUGGGCUUCUCACGAAAGUUCUGCAAAACCCUCUCAAAUGUCUGAAUAUUUACUAAGUAGGUCACGAAAUAUUUUCCAACAACAAAAAUACAAAUACAAAAAUACAAUAGAGUAAUCCUAUUGGGAUGUAGUUAUGUGCUAAUGACUUUAUUUUCUUCUUCCUCCUGUUCAGGCAGUAACAUGCAAAGUGACCACAGCACUGUUGUGAAAUUGCUGAUUAACCUUUUGACUCUGACAAUUGGGACUUCUCUUAACACCAAUUGGUAAUGCAAAAGACCAUUAGUAGUUAAUAUUGGGACACCCCACCUCCAGAUGCCAAAAGGUUAAUGAAAAAGCAAGUAUCUUGCUUUUACUGGGAAACUUGGAAACCUUCCCACCAAACAUUUCAUUUUUUGUGAUAAACAAGCCAGACCGCUUCAGCUGAGAAAGACGGGUGUUUUGCUAAUGUGUACAGCUGUUAAUUGAAAAAGAUUCUGUUAUGCCUGUUCUUCUGGACAUAGAUAAAAGAGAGAUUUGUUGGUGAACUUUAGUUGGUCCUGAACACCCCUUUGUCAAAAUACACUGCUCAAUAAUAACGCUUUGUUCUGUCUGUAACAGCCACGGAAGGAUUUUGAGUGGAAUACUCAUUUUCUUUAAGUCAUAUCUGCCAGUGAUCAUUCUUGGCUUAAGAUCAGCUGCCAUUUAUGUGUUUUAUGAAAAUAUAACACCAGUUUUAUGCUCAAAACUAUUCUUUUUUAGGUAAAAGCUUCAGCACAAACUGGUUCCCCAUAUGUACCAUAAAUGCUAUUUAUCACAGGUUUUGGUCUUUAAAACAGAAUGAUAAUGUUAAAACAUUUUCAUUACCCUUUCCUUACAGCUAUCAUUCACAAACCAUCUUUUAUAAUUAUGGUACUAGGACAUUUACAUAACUGGGAAAAAGGUCCUUAAACUACAUUUCUAUUAUGUUUGGCACUUGUGUGAAAGGAUAUUAUAUUCAUGUGCAUUAGAGAUUGCUUAUAAAAGAUCAAGACAAUAAUAGCAGAUCAGACGAUAAAGGUUCCCUUUUCUCCUCCCAGACAGGCUGUCUCUGACAGAAGAAUACAGUUCAUCAAAAGUGUCUGCAGGUUGUCAAACUCAGUGAGAUUUGGGGACACUCGGAGGCUGUCAUGGCCAACAAGAAGAUUUUCUGUAGGGUUCUGCCAUCAUUCACCCUCAGGAAAUAAUCACUCACUACAUUCUGCAUGCUCUCAUGAUAGAGCUCUAUUUGAGAGAAAAGAGCCAUUUUAUCAAAGGACAAUAUAUCCCUUCUCUUGGUCCAUGCAGCUUCCAUUAUCAGACCAUAAUAAAUCAUAUUUAUGUUCUCAGUUAAUAAGACUGAUUACAAUGCAGGUUACAGGCAUGGGAAAAGCAAAGCAGGUGAAAAGAUGUUUUAAUGAAAAUAUGAUAAGCAAACAGCUUCUUGUGAACAUUUCAGGCUGUUAUUUGUAAUGAUCACAGGCAAUUUUUGAUACAUCUUCUUUAGCAAUGGUUUAAGCUGCAUAAAUUGGCUUGCCACUUUAUACGUCGAAAUAGGAAGAAUCCCAGUGUCCUUCUUAUGUUGUCUAGAAUCAUUAUAUACAUUAUAAGCAUAAAAUGAGUUUAAUGUAUGUGCUUUGAAAAGAUGGGGAAAACAGAAAAUCAGGGAGGACUGAUUUUAAUGCUGCUCAAAAUGAUUUUGAAAUUUUCUGCACAUCUUUGUUACUAACGGUGCAUUUUCCAUGAAAUUUAGGGAUGACAUGUGGUGCUUUCAUCUCCUUAAAAUUAAUAUACUUCUCUUUCUGUUUUUCUCAGUUUCUUCAAAGUUCUUUUUAGAACACUGUGCAAAGAGACAGAGAGAAAAUUCUCCACUCGAUGUGUGAACAUAUCUGUUAUUAAUGCUGGGGGGGAGUUAAGUGUGUGCUUCUAGAGGAGAAUAUACCCCUGCGUUAAACACUGAAAUCAACCCUAUCAAAAAGGUGCAAGGAUAUUUAGCUGCAGCACACCUGAUGCAUUCAAGGGCCAAAUUCCUUAGAAUCUUUUAAAGUGAUCAAGAUCUCUUUUGUUAAGAGCGCUCCAAUGAUUUCAGAAUAUAACUGUACUUAAGUAGCCGAGGAAGUGUCUUGCUCUUGUCUCGUGAAAAGCUUUCUUUUAUGUUUUAUUGUUGUUUUCUUUUUUGCUGUAGUCAUUUGGUUUAUGUUUAGCAUCAUACUUUCAAGACAAAGUUAAAAAUUUAAAGAAUAAUUUCUUCCUGCUAGCAGAUAAUGCUGACUAAGUAUUUCAAAAUCUACAGCACUUGCAGAAUGCAAGCAUUAUGCUUAAAAUGUAUAUAAUGAUUCCAGACAAUAUGAGAAGGACACUGGGAUUCUUCCUACUUUGAUAUAUAAAGUGGUGAGCAAACGCAGAAGUCUCCAUGGUGUUGUGUGUCUGUAGGAGCUGUUCUGGUCACUGAUACUUCUAAAGCUCCCUUAAACAAAUGUUAAAGCUUUGUAAUGGGCCUGGCAAUGGAGAAUGACCAUGAAAUUCCCUUAACCCUUUUAGGGCACUUCAGCAGGAGAAGUGAUCACACAAGAAACAGUAAACUGCGCUUCAAAGGCAGCAUCCUGAUAUGACAACAGAUGUAGAUAAUGCACUUCAUGAUGAAACUGCUUGAUACAGAGAAAAACACGUUGUAACUGCCUUCACCCUGAAAGGGGUUUAAAAAUGCUGCCUGCCAACUCCACAAAAAACAGAGCUGCUAUUUCAGUUAAAGGCCAGUGGAUUGUAUUUUUCGUGUCAGUUUUCACUAACCUCAAACAUCACUGUUAUGACAGACUGUCAUCCAACCAAGCCAGCACUGUGGUGCCAUUCAGGCAAGAAAGAAGAAAGCAAACACAAAGGAAACUUAGAAGUCCGAGCAGUAAGAGCGGGUGUCUGUGAGUGCACUUUUGUGCAGCGAUACUGAUUACUGAAAAUGAAACACUUAAAAGAAAACAAACCCAAAAAAGUGAUUUCUGAGCCAUUGGUGUUUUCUUGCCUGGCAAUUUCUCUUUGUUCUGUUUCAUGACAUCAGCCUCAGUGGUUGAAAGGGUGUUCUGGGCCAGAUGUCAAUCACUAUGUCUGACAUAAACAAAAAUAGCUAAAAAGACAUGCCAGCAUCUUCCUUUUGUUUUCCCAUUAGCUCCAUUUUUCUUUUCAGAGGCUGACAAAAAAUUACUGCCUCCGAGUGAAUUCAGUAAUGUCACUAUAUAUCUAAUAUCUAGGAGACCUUUUGUUUUAGCUUUACUGGGCUUAACCACAAAAGACACUUGACAUUGACAAAGAGUCUGUCAAAUACACAAUGAUCAGUGCAGUGAAAUCUCUCAUGACAGAAGGGCACUAUUCUGCACCCCCAGCCUGCAGCAGCCUAUCUGAGUAAAAUGUGCUGGAGCACAUGCAGCAGCUGAACCAUUGCAGAGCAGGCCAUAAGCUGAGAUGUGUCUUGUUUAAAGUGUCAUAGUAUAUUAGUGUAAUUAAAACCGCCAAAAGAAUAGAAAAGAUAGAUGGAAAUGUUACAUUACUUGUUUCUAGAGAUUAACCUCCAGCCAGAACUGAAAUACAGGGACACAUUUUGCAUGUCUUAGAGCUCUGAUAUGGAAGAAAACAAGCCUGAGUGUAUGUCUCUUGAAGUGUGAGACAUGAAGUCAUAGUUCCUGUAUUUACACAAUAAAGCAGAAACAGCGCUUCAGACAGGCACGCUGUUUUCUCUCUGAUUACAGCUCCCGUUGUGGCUGUACUCUGCAAAGCAGCUGUAUCAUCUCUCAGCUACUUCCCUUUUACUCUCACUGCCUUCGUGCUUGGAAGGUCUUGAGGACCCUUGGGCCAACAGAUGUGCUGGUGUCAAUGCCUUCUGCUCCCUUGGCAUCUGCCAGCAUUGCGUGGGCCCAGCCUAGAGGCAGAGCACCCUGUCCCUGUGGUGUCUGCAGAAGACACAGCUCAGCUCCAGACUCAGCAACACCCAGCUAGGAAGAUGUUUGAAGAAUGGCUUCAGUCUGACCUUUAUAUACCAGGCUGCAUGCUUGCUUCUCUGUUGACUCUAUAGAUAAAACUGCAUGGCUUUCUGAAAUUGACUCUGAAAAUUAUGUUCCCAGAACUGCAUGUUUUCCUUCCCAUGCCUCAUUACCUGUGAUAACUAUUCAAGCCUAACUAGUUACGAUCUCUGUUCUAACCAUGAGGCAAGUUAUAUCUGGUGGUGAAAAACCCUUGGAGUUUUUAUGGACCUGUUCAGCUGUGUUGGCUGAACGUUGGUUUAUCCAGUAUCUGGAGAGGACCUCAUCUGGCUUCAGCAGUUCUGAAGCAUACAAAAGCAGCGUGGUUUUCUUCUAAUGUAAGCCUUACAUUCAAGGAGAAGAUGCAUUAAUCAGAUUCAUCUCAGUGACUGUGAAAUUCCUGAGGAUGUUAUUACUUUCAAGUCAGAUUAACGGAGUAAUUUCCAGUUACCACCUGUGAAGAGAUUCCUACCUAUCCUGGCAGGCAAUUGUUCAGUCUUAUUGAGCUUCAAAUAACUUUACAGCUUGAAAUUCUGAGGAUCUUCUCUGUUAUCUUCUGUUCGUUAUAUUCAUUUGAAGAUAUUUUGGAGAAAACAUGGAACUCGAGAGCAUUCAGGAGAACCCUGCUCGUGCCUCCGAAUGGCUGAGGACAGGGAAUGAGUUUUGCUGUGACAGUAAAUGUGGAGGAACCUCAUUGCUCAAAAUUCAAUUCAGCAUUUUUAUUUAUUUUUUUUUAAAUAGUGCUGCAAAGGAGGAAAAAGAAAAGGACAAGUUUUUGUUUCUGAUAUGAAUGUCCCUGCUUUGUCCAGAGGAACCACGGCUGCCAUCUGUGGCUCGUGAUAGUGACUGUGCUCUGUGCUAUGGAGAAAGGGACCAGAAGCAGCUAGAGCAGGAGAAGAAAUAACACUGUGUGAACAAAGACUUUAGCUGAGGCAAAUUUACUUCCCUGAGAAUUAGCCGGGGUAUCUCUCCAUGACACACUUACUUUAGAAUCACAGCAUGUUGCAGUUAUUAGACUCUGGCAGGCUCCUAGGUAGGAACCGUGUCCAAGAGCCUUUAUUUCAUCUGCUCCAAUUGAGAAGAGUGUGGCAGUUUCUUUUGGUUGAGCCUUGCUAUAACGAUCUGAGCUUUAGUCACCGUGAGGCUAGCACACUGCAAAGCAUUCAGCUGGUGUUACAACCAGAGACAACUGAGCUCCAAGAGUGAGUGCAGACUGUGUCUAUCUACUUAUUAAGUGACGGGUCAUGUGGAGUGCCCAUUACCCAGUAAUUGGUGCUAGCUGCCAGUUAGCAUUCAGCAGGACUUGGAGCAUUUGUAUAGCCCUUACAGACCAGAGUGGCCUGGGAUUGUUCUUGCCUUAUUUGCUGCAACUGUAAUCAGAUUGGUGGCUCUCUGCUUCUCAGAUCUACCAAACUCAAACUGAAGGGCACGGGGGAGUGUGGGAUCUCUGCAGGGAGUUCAGUCAGAGGGACACCUGGGUGUCAGGGCUCUGUGGUAAGGCUGCAGUCCAAUGGCCCCGCUGCUCUCCUUGGCUUGCAGGUUCCUUCCAUGCACCACAGGAGGAGAGGGAAAGGAUGGAAUCUGUGGUAGGUGACACAAUGCCUGCCCGAUCUUGCACAGCUCUAAGUCCUUAAAGAUGAGACCCUCUAGUGUUUUCUGGCCUCACAGAGCCCACAGGCAGCACUCAGGUGAGGAGUUCAGAGACACAGAGAUGGGGAGGUCUUUCCAGAAGGAACUGCAUAGGCAGACACACACACAUAUCGCUGUGUAAGGUACAUGCUGCAUGCAGCUUUGGUUUGGGGAGCCCUUUUGUUCUCAGGCUGCCAACUGCGGGCACUGCUGUGAAUUGCAGCAGGCUGUGGGGGAAGGAGGAGGAAAGUGCCGGCAGUCCUGUGGGUCAGCGCGGGGAGCGAUGACCUCGGCGCACGCGGGAGCAGGACGGGGCUCUUUUCACACCAUUACUUCCCGGGAUUUUACAGUUCUUUUUUUAAAAUUCCAAAGCAGAGCGGCACGAGGCCCAGAGGUUAGCAAGGUGGUGGUUGAGCGGAGUGCUCUCUGCAGUCCCGCGGCCGCGGAACCCCCGCUCUGCGCCGCGCCGGCCCCGGCAG